rnacentral:SRP_RNA from 1 species
GCCAGGCAUGGUGGCGCAUGCCUGUAGUCCCAGCUACUCGAGAGGCUGAGGCAGGAGAAACGCUUGAACCCAGGAGACUGAGGGUGCAGUGAGCCGAGAUCACGCCACUGCACUCCAGCCUGGGUGACAGAGCAAGACUCUGUCUCAA